UUUAAACGCAGUCAUAUCCAAUUUUGAUCGUCCGUCUUAUUUGAAACUUUUUAUGACUAGUAUUUUUAUUGUUAUUAGAUGAUAAGUACUUUAUACGUGAUUUGUGUUUUUUAUUUUUUUUAAAUUUUUUUUAAAUAAGACGAACGAUUAAAAUUGGAUAUGGAAACUCAUGCGUGUGUGACAC
rfam:Oryza punctata chromosome 7, whole genome shotgun sequence.